AUACUUACCUGGCAGGGGAGAUACCAUGAUCACGAAGGUGGUUUUCCCAGGGCGAGGCUUAUCCAUUGCACUCUGGAUGUGCUGACCCCUGCGAUUUCCCCAAAUGUGGGAAACUCGACUGCAUGAUUUGUGGUAGUGGGGGACUGCGUUCGCGCUCUCCCCUG
rnacentral:snRNA from 1 species